CGGGUGCACUGAUCCAGCCGGGCCUUUUCCUCUGUGGAACCCCAUGGCCUUCACUGGCUGUGGUGGGGAAACAGGACUUUUACUUUGAAAAAAUUAGAGUGCUCCAGGCAGGCCUAUGCUCGAAUACAUUAGCAUGGAAUAAUAGAAUAGGACGUGUGGUUCUAUUUUGUUGGUUUCUAGGACCGCCGUAAUGAUUAAUAGGGACAGUCGGGGGCAUCAGUAUUCAAUUGUCAGAGGUGAAAUUCUUGGAUCUAUUGAAGACUAACUACUGCGAAAGCAUUUGCCAAGGAUGUUUUCAUUGAUAAGGAACGAAAGUUAGGGGAUCGAAGACGAUCAGAUACCGUCGUAGUCUUAACUAUAAACUAUGCCGACUAGGGAUCGGACGAUGUUAUUCUUUGACGCGUUCGGCACCUUUCGAGAAAUCAAAGUGCUUGGGCUCCAGGGGGAGUAUGGUCGCAAGGCUGAAACUUAAAGAAAUUGACGGAAGGGCACCACCAGGGGUGGAACCUGCGGCUUAAUUUGACUCAACACGGGGAAACUCACCAGGUCCAGACACAGUGAGGAUUGACAGAUUGAGAGCUCUUUCUUGAUUCUGUGGGUGGUGGUGCAUGGCCGUUCUUAGUUGGUGGAGUGAUUUGUCUGCUUAAUUGCGAUAACGAACGAGACCUUAACCUGCUAAAUAGCCCGUACUGCUUUGGCAGUUCGCCGGCUUCUUAGAGGGACUAUCGG
rnacentral:rRNA from 1 species